CCUACGGGAGGCAGCAGUGAGGAAUAUUGGUCAAUGGACGAGAGUCUGAACCAGCCAAGUAGCGUGAAGGAUGACUGCCCUAUGGGUUGUAAACUUCUUUUAUAAAGGAAUAAAACGAGGCACGCGUGCCUUUUUGCAUGUACUUUAUGAAUAAGGAUCGGCUAACUCCGUGCCAGCAGCCGCGGUAAUACGGAGGAUCCGAGCGUUAUCCGGAUUUAUUGGGUUUAAAGGGAGCGUAGAUGGGUUGUUAAGUCCGUUGUGAAAGUUUGCGGCUCAACCGUAAAAUUGCAAUUGAUACUGGCAGUCGUGAGUACAGUUGAGGUAGGCGGAAUUCGUGGUGUAGCGGUGAAAUGCUUAGAUAUCACGAAGAACCCCGAUUGCGAAGGCAGCUUACUAAACUGUGACUGACAUUGAUGCUCGAAAGUGUGGGUAUCAAACAGGAUUAGAUACCCCAGUAGUC
rnacentral:rRNA from 1 species